GGGGUUGGCUUUGGGGUCGGAUAUGGGGGCGGCGUCUAUGGGGUCGGGUGGGGGGUCGGAUAUGGGGGCGGCGUCUAUGGGGUCGGGUGGGGGGUCGGAUAUGGGGUUGGCUUUGGGGUCGGGUGGGGGUGCGGCUGUGGGGUCGGGUGGGGGGUGGGCGUCUAUGGGGUCGGGUGGGGGGUCGGAUAUGGGGUUGGCUUUGGGGUCGGGUGGGGGGUCGGAUAUGGGGUUGGCUUUGGGGUCGGGUGGGGGUGCGGCUUUGGGGUCGGAAAUGGGGUUGGCUUUGGGGUCGGGUGGGGGUGCGGCUGUGGGGUUGGAUAUGGGGGCGGCGUCUAUGGGGUCGGGUGGGGGGUCGGAUAUGGGGUCGGAUAUGGGCUCGGCGUCUAUGGGGUCGGGUGGGGGGUCGGAUAUGGGGUUGGCUUUGGGGUCGGGUGGGGGGGUCGGCUCGGGGGUCGGGGUCUAUGGGGUUGGCUUUGGGGUCGGCCUCUAUGGGGUCGGCUGGGAGAUCGGCUAUGGGGUCGGGUGGGGGGUCGGAGUCUAUGGGGUUGGGUGGGGGGUCGGCGUCUAUGGGGUCCUCUUUGGGGUUGGCUUUGGGGUCGGCAUCUAUGGGGUCGGCUGGCGGGUUGGCUCGGGGGUCAUCUAUGGGGUCGGCCGGGGGGUCAUAGCGCUGGGGCCGGUACUGUGUGGGGUGGUGUAUGGGGUCAUAGGGAGGGGGAUGGUCCUGUGUGGGGUGGUGUAUGGGGUGGUACAUGGAGUGCUGUAUGGCCCCAUAGCGCUGGGUCCGCUCCUGUAUGGGGUCAUAGGGAGGGGGAUGGUCCCGUAUGGAGUGCUGUAUGGGGUCCUCUAUGGGGUCAUAGCGCUGGGGCCGGUCCUGUAUGGCCCCAUAGUGCUGCGUCCGGUCCUGUAUGGGGUCCUGCAUGGCCCUAUAGCGCUGUGUCCGGCCCUGUAUGGGGUCAUAGCGCUGGGUCCGGUCCUCUAUGGGGUCCUGUAUGGGGUCCUGUAUGGUCCUAUAGUGCUGGGUCCGGUUCUUCAUGGGGUCCUGUAUGGGGUCCUGCAUGGCCCUAUAGGGCUGGGUCCGGUCCUGCGGUGCUGCCCCAUAGGGGUGGGCUUUGUCCUGUAUGGGGUCCUGUGGCUCUGCCCCAUAGGGGUGGGCUUUGUCCCGUAUGGGGUCCUGUGGCUCUGCCCCAUAGCUCUGGGUCUGCUCCUGCUCUAUGGGGUCCUGGGGGGCAGAGGGACGUGUGGGGUCAGCACAUCCCCACGAGCCUUUGGGGUCCCUCUGACCCCCCCCACACUCCCCACCCUAUAACGCCCCCCUUACCCCAAUAGGGACCCCCCCCCAUGCACCCCCCCACCCCUAUAUCCCCCCCCUUUCCCAAAUAGGGACCUCCCCACCCCAUAUCCCCUCCCUUACCCCAAUAGGGACCACCCCAGCACCCCUCCCC
rnacentral:lncRNA from 1 species